GUAGGGAGCAAGCGUUGUCCGGAUUUACUGGGUGUAAAGGGUGCGCAGGCGGCUUUGCAAGUCAGCUGUGAAAUCUAUGGGCUCAACCCAUAAAUUGCAGUUGAAACUGCAGAGCUUGAGUGAAGUAGAGGUAGGCGGAAUUCCCGGUGUAGCGGUGAAAUGCGUAGAGAUCGGGAGGAACACCAGUGGCGAAGGCGGUCUACUGGGCUUUAACUGACGCUCAGGCACGAAAGCAUGGGUAGCAAACAGGAUUAGAUACCCUGGUAGUCCAUGCCGUAAACGAUGAUUACUAGGUGUGGGGGGACUGACCCCCUCCGUGCCGCAGUUAACACAAUAAGUAAUCCACCUGGGGAGUACGGCCGCAAGGCUA
rnacentral:rRNA from 1 species